AACGAACGCUGGCGGCAGGCCUAACACAUGCCAGUCGAGCGGACCCUUCGGGGUUAGCGGCGGACGGGUGAGUAACGCGUGGGAAUAUGCCCUUCUCUACGGAAUAGUCCUGGGAAACUGGGGGUAAUACCGUAUACGCCCUUUGGGGGAAAGAUUUAUCGGGGAAGGAUUAGCCCGCGUUGGAUUAGGUAGUUGGUGGGGUAAUGGCCUACCAAGCCGACGAUCCAUAGCUGGUUUGAGAGGAUGAUCAGCCACACUGGGACUGAGACACGGCCCAGACUCCUACGGGAGGCAGCAGUGGGGAAUCUUAGACAAUGGGGGCAACCCUGAUCGAGCCAUGCCGCGUGAGUGAUGAAGGCCUUAGGGUUGUAAAGCUCUUUCAGCUGGGAAGAUAAUGACGGUACCAGCAGAAGAAGCCCCGGCUAACUCCGUG
rnacentral:rRNA from 1 species